GACGAACGCUGGCGGCGUGCUUAACACAUGCAAGUCGAACGGAAAGGCCCUGCUUUUGUGGGGUGCUCGAGUGGCGAACGGGUGAGUAACACGUGAGUAACCUGCCCUUGACUUUGGGAUAACUUCAGGAAACUGGGGCUAAUACCGGAUAGGAGCUCCUGCUGCAUGGUGGGGGUGGGAAAGUUUCGGCGGUUGGGGAUGGACUCGCGGCUUAUCAGCUUGUUGGUGGGGUAGUGGCUUACCAAGGCUUUGACGGGUAGCCGGCCUGAGAGGGUGACCGGCCACAUUGGGACUGAGAUGCGGCCCAGACUCCUACGGGAGGCAGCAGUGGGGAAUAUUGCACAAUGGGCGGAAGCCUGAUGCAGCAACGCCGCGUGCGGUAUGACGGCCUUCGGGUUGUAAACCGCUUUCGCCUGUGACGAAGCGUGAGUGACGGUAAUGGGUAAAGAAGCACCGGCUAACUACGUG
rnacentral:rRNA from 1 species